GCGUGCGGAGGCUGGCCCCAACGGCCGAAAUUCGCGCGCUGAGCCUGAGGAGCGGCUGCUCCUCCCGCGGAGAGAGAAGACACUAAAGUAGAAUUGCCACCUUUGGAAAAUCUUAUGUCCACGUACGACGCAUCAUAAACUGUGGUUCCGUUAUUAAGCGUUCGAAGAAAAGAGAGUCUACUUAUACUGGGCUGCAUCACAUCAGAGGAUCAGGAUUUAUGGUCUUAAUCCUACAGUGUUUUGCACUGGCAAAGCUUUGCAAUGUCCCAUUGAAGUAAAUGGGACAUCAUACAGACACAAGGAACUGAGCAAGCUGAUCUUU